rnacentral:rRNA from 1 species
GUAGGGAAUCUUCCACAAUGGACGAAAGUCUGAUGGAGCAACGCCGCGUGAGUGAAGAAGGUUUUCGGAUCGUAAAGCUCUGUUGUUGGUGAAGAAGGAUAGAGGCAGUAACUGGUCUUUAUUUGACGGUAAUCAACCAGAAAGUCACGGCUAACUACGUGCCAGCAGCCGCGGUAAUACGUAGGUGGCAAAGCGUUGUCCGGAUUUAUUGGGCGUAAAGCGAGCGCAGGCGGAAUGAUAAGUCUGAUGUGAAAGCCCACGGCUCAACCGUGGAACUGCAUCGGAAACUGUCAUUCUUGAGUGCAGAAGAGGAGAGUGGAACUCCAUGUGUAGCGGUGGAAUGCGUAGAUAUAUGGAAGAACACCAGUGGCGAAGGCGGCUCUCUGGUCUGCAACUGACGCUGAGGCUCGAAAAGCAUGGGUAGCGAAACAGGAUUAGAUACCCUGGU